AUCACGCUUUGAGAAUUUGAGUAUUUACAUUUGAUCACAGAUCUCCAAUAAACCCUCAACUGUCCCGCCAAAGUUUAUCCAGACCAAUGGCUACAGACUUUAUCCUUUGUGCAUUUACAUUUCAGUCUGCAGAAACAGUUAAAUACAGUUUCAAUAACCCAAAAGUCGAUCUUUUAAACACAAAGCAUUUUCAACUGAAGAGCUCGACAGCAUCUGAGCACACAGAAAAGUGCAUCAUUGCAUUAAUACGGAAAACAACAUAAAAGAGAUGCGAAUGAUUCAUUGUCUGUUUGAUGCCACAACUGAGCAAGAGACAGCGAUGCACUGAAAUGAAGAUAAUAAGGAAAUGACGCAGUCCGGCGGAAAACUGGGUUUGCACACAUCGCACAGUUGAAUGCUCGAGUUCAAAAGCAAUUCUUUAUCAAUGACCUAGGCUCGUCCAAAUUUCCUAAUAUGAAAGUGCAUCAGGAUGACCACAACAAAUGCAUAAUCAAUUAACUAUCCAGCGUAAAAACAAGGGCCAAAGGAGUGAAAAGUGAGUUAUGCCGUUUAAACGAAUAUAAAUCAAUAAAUUGAUGAACCUGUUGUCCUAUGCAACAGCAACAUAGAUCAAUGCUGCCCCCUACUGAUUAAAAGUUGUUACCUCUUGCUAUGUUUGUAGAUGCCUCACCUGAAAAACAAAUAGUCGCAGGAUGAAUCCCACUCGUGAUCAUCAAACAUGGCCACGCGAAAGUCACAUGAUGUACAUCUUAAUUGGUUGCAGGCCCUUAAAAAAACACAACUUGAAUAAAUGAACACAUCCAUUUAAAUCUGAAUCAUUCAUGACUGCACGAUUACAUUCUUACAUAAAGAAGAACUAUUUCCAUGCUUAUUCAUAUAAAACAAUAAGAACCAUUACAGAAAUUCCAAUGAAUUUGAAAGUGACGUGAUUUAAUGGUUAUAAUGGUAAUUGUAUUUGUUUUAAAGGACACUGUAAUGGUUUCUAUAAGUCUGUACUGUCUGGUAAUGUGAUGGGAUUUAUUGGCGGGAUGCUAUCCGGCAGAUAGGAACAGAACACCAUUAAAUCCUACUCUAAUAAGGCCUUACAGGAAUUUUCUAAUCGCUAUAAUGGUAAACAGAUAAUGGUCCUUAAAGGCGGGGUGCACUACCAAAACACACUUGUAGCCAAUCAGCAGUAUGGGGCAUAUCUACUAAGCGACAUCGUUGCCUGGGUUGCAUAUGUGUGGGGCGGGUCUAUUAAAAGACGGUCCAGAUUCUAUUAGGAUGGGGCGUGUUUGUUUAGGUGAUUUUAAAUAUCAACACUGGCUUUCAGAGAUCAUGCACCCCGCCUUUAACUUUUUCUCUGCGUUUUUUUAAAGUUUCCAGCCAGCGCCAGCAUUUAUUAUGAUUUUCACAAAAUGCCUUUAUGCCUUUCAGAAAAUUCAUCUUUAAAUAUAUAAACAUACAAUAUAUCAAAUGAAAGAACAGACCCUCUGCUUAAAAAAAACAAAAAACGUUUCACCCCACCCCAUUUCAUUCAAUCUUCAUUUGUUCUCUUUUUAUCACCUCUCAAAUAUGGGUAGGUUUAUUAAAAAUACAAAAUUUUGAGCAAAAAGCUGAGAUUAAUGCAUUUUUGUAAAUGACUUUGUUAAAGAUCAGAUUCAAAACGAUGAUCAAAACAUACAUGGAGUUUUUACUGUUGUUGGGUCAGUGGAUGCGUCAGUGUUUUAUAAGUUGGGUAAGAGUGCCACCUAGUGGAUAAUAGCAUAAAUAUGGAUUGCAAUAAAAUCUCGUCUUUGGAGGGAAAGCGUUUUCUUUUAAUGGACGAGAUAACUCGUCAAUGGCGGGGAAAGAGUAUUCGUAAAGGAAACGAUUAGGAUAUGUAAAGGUGCAUUUCAAUAAAAUGUGUUAAACACUGUUGUCACAUUAUCUAAAUAUUUGCAACAUGAACGUGGCCCCCAAAAAUGAAAAUUUUGUCUUCAUUUAACUUGUAAAAACGGCUAUUUCUAUCACACUAAUAUUUCAUUUACUCUCUGUUUUUUCCGCUAUGCAAUGAGACACACAUGCACGCGUUAUCCUGCCUGGACCAAUCAGCGUUCAGAUAACAACGCAAGUGAUCUACCCCGCCCUCACCGAGACAGCAGCGGAGUUUAGCAGGAUGCGGAGACAGUAUCAAAGUUUGCUGCAGUAUAAUUAAUAAGACGUGCAUUUGCCUGUUUGAUGAAGUGUUGUGUGUACAUGCCGACAAGAAAGAAUCUCAUACAGGUAUAGAAGAAUAUCAGGUUGAAACGCAUUGGUUACUCCCAGGUGGGGGUGACCCAUCAGUUGCAGAAUCAGAGAACUUUAUCACCAUUGUGCUCUUGAGCAACAAGUCCACGAGUUUCUUCAUGGAAAACUCAUUCUGCAAUUACAGUACUUUAAGUCUCUCUGGAAUACAACUGUCAGGCAGAGCAACCAAGGUGAAGCUGCCCAGCUGAACAUUUGACACCAGAACAAUCUAACAACAGAUAAACUGCUGUUGCACUGUUUACACAGAGCUCAUCUUCACUGUUGGGAAUAGAAAACCUUACAAUAAAAAUCUUUUAAUAUUACUUUAUCACCUCUUGCACAACGGUCUCAGCAAGCCAAUUGCUUGCUUAUUGUUAGAGGCUUAUCUUUGAGCGAGCGAGCAUCGAAAAACGCUGAGGUGCACAGCUACCUCUCCCCCGCAUAUACCCCCUCACCCUGCACUGACUCUAUUAAUCAGCCGCCCUCUCUCUGGUGCCGGGGAGCACGACUCUCUGCCCGCUGGAACCCACACUGACCCACACAUUCCUGGGGUCCAGCCAAAGCGAUAGGGGGCCGCUGCAAGCAUGCCUGUUUAGUCUUCAGACAGCUAUAACCUCAUCCGGUGACUGUGUUCUGAUUGUACUGUGCGUUCUGAACGGGCUGAUUCACGCGGGGUGUCUGACCCAUCAAAACACACAUUUCCCUUCCACUCGCUGUCGUCACCUCCCCUCUCGCUGUCCCGUCUCUUUAAACACAGGAAGUUCCAUCUGCACACACUGUUUUCUUUGUCGUUGCGAUUCGGAGAUCAAUGGAUUAGUCAUAAUCCUCUGACUUUCCUACAAACCAAGGCGCAACACAGCCAGAGUGCUGUUGUGAUUAUUAUGGAUAUAUGUUUACCGUCACCCUUUCAGAGCUGGAAGGCUGUCAACGUUUUCAAUAAACUGUCAAGCGAUGACUUGUAUCCAAAAGGAACACAACACCAACAUCUCCGAGCAUCUAGUUAUCACUUUUGCGGCUAAUGCAUUCAUGAUUAAUGACUGUGCCUAUGAUGCACACUAGUAUUGUUUCUUUUAAGGUAUGUUUCUUAGGGACACUCCACUUUUGAAAUUAUGCUUAUUUUCCAGAGUUAAAUAUUUGAUUUUUACAGUUUUGGAAUCCAUUCAGCUGAUCUCCGGCUCUGGCACGAGC